rnacentral:lncRNA from 1 species
CCCUUGGAUACCAGUAAAUUUAUGUGAACUGUUUUUAUUUUAAUCAAUGAAUACAAGUUUAAUACUUUCCAUAAAAAAUGACAAAUUUGAACCUUCUAUCUAAAACUAUCUCUACAUGUUAAUUAUAGCUAAAACUUUAAGGUUAACCACAAGAAGGUUUCAAAAACAUAUUUAUAAGUGCAAAAAAUAUAACAGUUGUUAAAUAAUUUGGUUAACUACUACUUUCUGAAUGUGAAACAAGAACUAUUAUUAUUAAAGUUUUUUUUUUAAACUGGUGAACUGAAUUUAACACUUGUGACAUGAUAUAUAUCAGAAUUGAUGCACAAAAAACAACUGUAGAUAUAGUCUUUUAUUUUUUCUGAUUUUUUCUCAUAUUUUCUUAUUUUCUUUUUCAUUAUUAUUCAUUUGUUAUUCUUUUUUGUUCAGAAUAUCAUUGAAUGUGAGACAAAAGAUAUAAGUGUUAUAUUUUUUUUUAAAACUGGUGACCUAAAGUAAACACUGUGAACUGUAAUAUAUCAGAAUUGAUGCACAAAAAUUAAAUGCACAAAUAGUCUAUUAUUUUUUCUACUCUUUUUUAUUAUUUUUUUCAUAUUUUCUUUUUUUUUCUUUUUAUAUUAUUUUCUUUUUUGUUCUGACAUGUCUGAAUGUGACACAAAAGCUAUAAGUAUUAUAGUUUGUUUUUUUUUAAACUGGUGACCUGAAGUAAACACUGUGAACUGUAAUAUAUCAGAAUUGAUGCACAAAAAUCAAAUGCACAAAUAGUCUUAUUUUUUCUUCUUUUUUCUUUUUUUUUACAUUUUUUUUUUCUUUUCUUUUUCUUUUCUAUUUUAUUUUUAGUAUUUUGAGGUUUUAAAAAACUACGAAAAAAAAUGGUAAGAAUCAGUGUUAUCAGUUAAUCACAUUUUAUACCCUGGUGAAGAUAUGAUUACAACAUGAAUAUUAAAACAAGAUAUAAACUGGAAUUGUAAAUUCCCUGAGAUCACUAUCUAUCAAUUAAAGCAAAGUUCUGGAUUGUUUAUACAAAUAAAAGGGGGAGAGGGGUGAAGGUCAAUGGGACAGCAACCCAAUGGCACAAAUAAUCAAUAGACGUCUACAGCAACAUAAAAUCUUAAACAACAUAUAUCUAAACAAAAUAUCAAGCUUUUAAUUUUCCUGGGUCAUAAAAAAAAAUUGAACAGAUACUAUCAAAACAUGUUAAAUAUUUUGUUACAAAUAAAACUUGAGUUUUUAAAGACAAAGCAAAAUUGAUGCAACUGAGUACAAAGCAAACUCUUUAUAUCCCUGACAAUAAUUCCAUCAAAUAAGAAAUUUUUGGAGCAUUAGAAAUAGUCAGUCCAGAGACUGUAUAUAUCAUUAUCAUGAGAAAAGCAUGCUGCAAUUCAUAUUGCCCUUUGGAUUCAUAGUGUAUUGCUGCCUCAACUUUUUUAAUCGUUAGUUGAAUUAUUCAUUUGUUUCCGAGUAUUUAUACCUUGUUGAAUAAAAAUUGAGGUAAUCCUAUGAAAAAUUUAGUUUUGGUUUUAAGAGUUAAGUGCUGUUCCAAUAACAACUUUAGAGUUCAAAUACUUUAGUUCUUAAAGAAAUAUCUGUAAUUACUAAGAAACUAAAAUAUCUAAAUAAUAUUAGAUCAGUAAGGGAUACAAUACCGUUCACUUUAAUUUAAACUGUACAACACUUUUUUAAGGCAAAGUUAGGAUAGAACAAGUAUUUGAUAUUUGUACACAAAAAGAAAAUGUAAUAAAAUAUGGUAACAUAAUAUUUACAACAACUAAAGCAAAAACAAAAUAUUACAUAAUUACUGGUACUAGUCUACAAAGAUCGAUAUAUAUAUAUAUAUAUAUAAUAUAUAUA